rnacentral:tRNA from 1 species
GCCUGGAUGGCUCAGUUGGUUAAGCAUCUGACUUUGGUUCAGGUCACGGUCUUGCAGCUGGUGAGUUUGAGCCCCACUCUGUGCU